UACGUAGGGUGCGAGCGUUAAUCGGAAUUACUGGGCGUAAAGGGUGCGCAGGCGGCGUCGCAAGUCAGGCGUGAAAUCCCCGGGCUUAACCUGGGAACUGCACUUGAAACUACGAUGCUGGAGUAUGGCAGAGGGAGGUGGAAUUCCCAGUGUAGCGGUGAAAUGCGUAGAUAUUGGGAAGAACACCUGAGGCGAAGGCGGGUUGCUGGGCCGACACUGACGCUGAGGCGCGAAAGCCAGGGGAGCAAACGGG
rnacentral:rRNA from 1 species